UACGGAGGGAGCUAGCGUUGUUCGGAAUUACUGGGCGUAAAGCGCACGUAGGCGGCUUUGUGAGUUAGAGGUGAAAGCCCGGGGCUCAACUCCGGAACUGCCUUUAAGACUGCAUCGCUUGAAUCCAGGAGAGGUGAGUGGAAUUCCGAGUGUAGAGGUGAAAUUCGUAGAUAUUCGGAAGAACACCAGUGGCGAAGGCGGCUCACUGGACUGGUAUUGACGCUGAGGUGCGAGAGCGUGGGGAGCAAACAGG
rnacentral:rRNA from 1 species